UAGCGACAGGCUUAACACAUGCAAGUCGAGGGGCAUCAUGAGGUAGCAAUACCUUGAUGGCGACCGGCGCACGGGUGAGUAACGCGUAUGCAACCUGCCUGAUACCGGGGUAUAGCCCAUGGAAACGUGGGUUAACACCCCAUAGUACUUUUAUCCUGCAUGGGAUGUGAGUUAAAUGUUCAAGGUAUCGGAUGGGCAUGCGUCCUAUUAGUUAGUUGGCGGGGUAACAGCCCACCAAGACGAUGAUAGGUAGGGGUUCUGAGAGGAAGGUCCCCCACAUUGGAACUGAGACACGGUCCAAACUCCUACGGGAGGCAGCAGUGAGGAAUAUUGGUCAAUGGACGAGAGUCUGAACCAGCCAAGUCGCGUGAGGGAAGACUGCCCUAUGGGUUGUAAACCUCUUUUAUAAGGGAAGAAUAAGUUCUACGUGUAGAAUGAUGCCUGUACCUUAUGAAUAAGCAUCGGCUAACUCCGUGCCAGCAGCCGCGGUAAUACGGAGG
rnacentral:rRNA from 1 species